rnacentral:rRNA from 1 species
GAUUUCUGGUUUGAUACAUUUUGCCGGCCACGGUUUCGUGUGUUAGUGCUUGAUGUUCUAGCCAUCCUUUCAAUCGCUGUGUACCUUUCUUCAUUGAUUGGUGCAUGGUAUUGAAUCUUUUACUUUGAAAAAAUUAGAGUGUUUAAAGCAGGCGUUUUGCUAUGAAUACAUUAGCAUGGAAUAAUAAGUUAGGACUUCGGUUCUAUUUUGUUGGUUUCUAGGACUGAAGUAAUGAUUGAUAGGGAUAGUUGGGGGUGCUAGUAUUCAGCGGCCAGAGGUGAAAUUCUCGGAUUCGCUGAAGACUAACUUAUGCGAAAGCAUU